AGAAUCAACGCUGGCGGCGUGCCUAACACAUGCAAGUCGCACGAGAAAGGGUAGCAAUACCUGAGUAAAGUGGCGCACGGGUGAGUAACACGUGAAUCAUCUACCUCCGAGUGGGGAAUAACCUAGAGAAAUCUGGGCUAAUACCGCAUAACACUUACGAGUCAAAGCAGCAAUGCGCUUGGAGAGGAGUUCGCGGCCGAUUAGCUAGUUGGCGGGGUAAUGGCCCACCAAGGCGAUGAUCGGUAUCCGGCCUGAGAGGGCGCACGGACACACUGGAACUGAAACACGGUCCAGACUCCUACGGAGGCAGCAGUGGGGAAUUUUGCGCAAUGGGGGAAACCCUGACGCAGCAACGCCGCGUGGAGGAUGAAAUAUCUUGGUAUGUAAACUCCUUUCGAUGGGGAAGAUUAUGACGGUACCCAUAGAAGAAGCCCGGCUAACUUCGUGCCAGCAGCCGC
rnacentral:rRNA from 1 species